rnacentral:rRNA from 1 species
AGGACGAACGCUGGCGGCGUGCCUAACACAUGCAAGUCGAACGAGGUCCAACCGGUGGCAACACUGGUGAAGACCUAGUGGCGAACGGGUGAGUAUCACGUGAGUAACCUGCCCCGAAGACUGGGAUAACACCGGGAAACCGGUGCUAAUACCGGAUGUCCCCACCGAAUCGCAUGGUUUGGUGAGGAAAUGGAUUCCGCUUUGGGAGGGACUCGCGGCCUAUCAGCUUGUUGGUGGUGUAACGGACCACCAAGGCUUCGACGGGUAGCUGGUCUGAGAGGACGAUCAGCCACACUGGGACUGAGACACGGCCCAGACUCCUACGGGAGGCAGCAGUGGGGAAUCUUGCGCAAUGGGCGAAAGCCUGACGCAGCAACGCCGCGUGAGGGACGAAGGCCUUCUGGGUUGUAAACCUCUUUCAGCAGGGACGAUGAUGACGGUACCUGCAGAAGAAGCCCCGGCAACUACGUGCCAGCAGCCGC